AUAUUAUUUUAUUUUGGUUAAUAUUUUUAUUAUUAUUUUAUUUUACAUGUAAAUUUUUGUGUGAAUUUAUUUAAUUUUUAAAAAAUUAUUUAAUUAUUUUAUUCGCAGUAAUUAAUAUUAAUAUAAAAAAGAAAUUUUGUAUUAGUAAUAAUAUAUAGUAUUGGUAAAAUUUGUGCCAGCUACCGCGGUUAUACAAAUAAUACAAAUAAAAAUUUUUAGUAGUAGUUAAAUUAAUCAAAUUUUAAUAUAAAUAUAAAUUUAUUAGGUGAAAUUUUUAAAUUUAUUUAUUAUUAAUUUAAAAAAUAAUUUAAGCUAUAAACUUUUUAUAAUAAACUAGGAUUAGAUACCCUAUUAUAGAAAAUAAAUAUGAGCAUACUAAAGUAGUAUUAGUUAUAUUCUUAAAAUUUAAAAAAUUUGGCGGUAUUUUAGUCUAUUCAGAGGAAUCUGUCCUGUAAUUGAUAAUCCACAUUGAACCUUACUUAAAUUUGUUUAAUUUGUAUAUCGCCGUCAUCAGAAUAUAUUAUAAGAUAAAAUUUUCUUAAUAUCUAAUAAGAUAAUAUGUCAGGUCAAGGUGCAGUUUAUGUUUAAGUAGAGAUGGAUUACAAUAAAUUUAUUUAAUAUGAAUUAUUUUUUGAAAUAAAAAUUUGAAAGUGGAUUUGAAAGUAAUAUAAAAAAGAUUAUUUAUAUGAUUUUAGCUCUAAAAUAUGCACAUAUCGCCCAUCGUUCUUAUUUUUAAAAUAAGAUAAGUUGUAACAUAGUAAAUGUACUGGAAAGUGUAUUUAGAAAGA
rnacentral:ncRNA from 1 species